AUACUUGGACAUUUCCAAUCUGGCAACACUGUGAUUCAAUAAAAGAAACCGGCUCAAAAGAGUCAAUCGUUCUGAAAUCAAACCACACUGCUCUCGCGGUAUGUUUUGGGCUGUAAGUUUAGUAGCGGCGUUGCUGUGGCGGAACUCGCUUCCUAACUCUAAUGAGGACGAAUUGCAGGACCUUUGAGGACUCCAACAGACCAGUUUGUGGAAAGUUAAUAAGGGUCUAGCCGACAGAGCACUGGACCCUGGAGAGAUGGCACUGUGAAUACAAGGUUUUUCAUCUCUGUUUCAGAUGAGGGGGACAGCUCUGUUGGCAUGGCAGAUCAGAGAUGCAUCUCACGUAGCGACAGAAGAGCUCUAAAGUCCAACCGCGGGUUCGUC